CUCCUGCAACUAGAUUGAGUAUAGGAGGUCCAGCCUGCCCAGUGACUACGGGUUCAACGGCCGCGGUAUUUUGACCGUGCAAAAGGUAGCGCAAUCACUUGUCUCUUAAAUAGAGACCUGUAUGAAAUGGCUAGACGAGGGCUUAACUGUCUCCCCCUUCCAGUCAGUGAAAAUUGAUCUAUCCGUGCAGAAAGCGGGUAUAAUAGUAC
rnacentral:rRNA from 1 species